UAGGGAAUAUUCCGCAAUGGGCGAAAGCCUGACGGAGCAACGCCGCGUGAGUGAAGAAGAUCUUCGGAUUGUAAAGCUCUGUCAACAGGGACGAUAAUGACGGUACCUGUGGAGGAAGCCACGGCAAACUACGUGCCAGCAGCCGCGGUAAUACGUAGGUGGCAAGCGUUGUCCGGAAUAACUGGGCGUAAAGCGCAUGUAGACGGCAUAGCAAGCCAAGUGUGAAAUUUAGGGGCUUAACCUCUAAACUGCGCUUGGAACUGCUGAGCUUGAGUGCAGGAGAGGCAAGUGGAAUUCCCAGUGUAGCAGUGAAAUGCGUAGAUAUUGGGAGGAACACCAGUGGCGAAGGCGACUUGCUGGACUGCAACUGACGUUGAGAUGCGAAAGCUAGGGGAGCAAACG
rnacentral:rRNA from 1 species